rnacentral:tRNA from 6 species
GCCGAGGUGGAGAAACUGGCAGACUCAUCAGCCUUAGGAGCUGAUGCUCGCAAGGGCGUGUGGGUUCAAAUCCCACCCUCGGCACCA